GAGCCCACAGUGGAACUGUUCAGAGACCUAUUCCAUCUAAACCGUCGUACUGAAUUUACUGACGGCUCCAAUACGGAGUUGGGUGGUGUGGCGAUUCAGAAAAGGAAAGAGGUCACAUACCCUCACGCAAAACUGCAUAGCCACCCCAAAGAAUGGAAUCAGACAUGGUUCUACUGCAAAGACACCUCCCCUGCUAGUGAGAAUCCCUUGCCUAGCUUUCGACCGGAGCGGCUCAGCAACACACACCCUUCUCCACAAAGAUUGACUGCACAGGAGAGAAGUAAAUAUGCUCCUCAGCUAUCAAAGCUCAGAGCUUUUAUGGCCAACGGUUUAAUAGGGGUUGAUCUUGCUUGUUGUUGGAUAUCAUGGAGCAUACUGCCUCUUAGUCUGCGCUCCGGUUUGAUGUGCUAG
rnacentral:rRNA from 1 species